GGAAAGGCGAAAAGAACCCCGGCGAGGGGAGUGAAAAAGAACCUGAAACCGUGUACGUACAAGCAGUGGGAGCACAGAGCAAUCUGUGUGACUGCGUACCUUUUGUAUAAUGGGUCAGCGACUUAUAUUCUGUAGCAAGGUUAACCGAAUAGGGGAGCCGAAGGGAAACCGAGUCUUAACUGGGCGUUAAGUUGCAGGGUAUAGACCCGAAACCCGGUGAUCUAGCCAUGGGCAGGUUGAAGGUUGGGUAACACUAACUGGAGGACCGAACCGACUAAUGUUGAAAAAUUAGCGGAUGACUUGUGGCUGGGGGUGAAAGGCCAAUCAAACCGGGAGAUAGCUGGUUCUCCCCGAAAGCUAUUUAGGUAGCGCCUCGUGAAUUCAUCUCCGGGGGUAGAGCACUGUUUCGGCAAGGGGGUCAUCCCGACUUACCAACCCGAUGCAAACUGCGAAUACCGGAGAAUGUUAUCACGGGAGACACACGGCGGGUGCUAACGUCCGUCGUGAAGAGGGAAACAACCCAGACCGCCAGCUAAGGUCCCAAAGUCAUGGUUAAGUGGGAAACGAUGUGGGAAGGCCCAGACAGCCAGGAUGUUGGCUUAGAAGCAGCCAUCAUUUAAAGAAAGCGUAAUAGCUCACUGGUCGAGUCGGCCUGCGCGGAAGAUGUAACGGGGCUAAACCAUGCACCGAAGCUGCGGCAGCGACACUGUGUGUUGUUGGGUAGGGGAGCGU
rnacentral:rRNA from 1 species